AGCUGUGUGGUAAGCACAAAGCGAACUAUUCUUUCGCCUUUUACUAAAGAAUACCGUGUGCUUGCCACUUAUAACAGCAUAUGCUGAUUUUUGGAAGAGUUUUCCUACUUUGGAGAGCU
rfam:Lupinus angustifolius cultivar Tanjil chromosome LG10, whole genome shotgun sequence.